CCCCUUUUUUACAAAUGACAAUGUCCCCAAGACUUCCCCAAACACUUCACCUGCACAGCCACCCUAGGAAGUCAACACCACUCUCCACCCUUAGAGAUCAGUCAGCCGAGCUUCAGAGGGGGUUACGUCAGCCUUUUUCAAACAGAACGGAAUCACAUCGCUGUUCGCUGGCUCUGCAGAUGGCUUCUUAGAUGAGGAAUUUUUUCCCUCAGAUAAUCUUAAGUGGAAGCUGAAUAUGUAAUCAGAUAAAGGCGGAGAUGUUCUGGUUGAAGGAGGAACACUUUCUACUUUAUGAUCCACACCUGCUCCCAGGACCCAGAAGCACCCCGGAAAGUCCCAAGGGACCCAAAGAAGGUUGGAAUGUAGCCUCUAGCUGGGUGGCCAUGGACUAAGCAAAAACUAUUAUAUUUCAGAGGGAUCACUGAGGUCGUCUAGGAGAAGGCGUGGAGAAAGGAUAAUAGAGGAUCUCGGACUGAACCCCACAGCACUCCGAUCCCAGAGGUUGAGGAGGUGAGGAAGAUGCAGCAAGGAAGACUCAAGGAGAGUCUGCUUCAGGCAAGCCAAGUAGAGAGAAUGUUUCAAAAAGGAGGAAGUGACAACCGUGCCAAAUCUGCUGAGAGACCCACAGACGAGGCCAUAAUAGUGACUAUUGGCGUGCAGCUGUUCCUUGGUCCCUUUGAUGAAAGCAGUCUAGUGACGCGCGAGGGAUGGGGACUGAUGAGAUUGAUUCGCGGGGGGUGUAGUCGGAGUACCGUUAGAUUAUGCUGGGUAACAACUCACCCUUGAAAUCUCAGGGGCUUAACACAACGAAUGUCUAUUUGAUGCUUAAAUUAAGCCUGCUGCGGGUCUGGUGUCUUCUAAUUAUGCCUUAUAGUAUCUACAUUCUCUAUCUUGUAGCUAUGCCAUCUAACAUAUUUCAAAGGUCACUGCAGGAAAAGAGAGAGAGAGAUCUUUUACUUACUCUUAAAUCCCCUGGACCAGAACUAGUCCUUUGACCAGAGCUAGUGGUAUGGCCCCAUCUAACUGCAAAGGUCUGUAAGUCUUCCCAGGUACCCGGAGGAGAACCAGCCCUGGAGACCUCAUGUAACUUUUACCGCAGGGAGUAAUGGAUGUGAGAGAUGGAGAGAGUGACCAGAGAGAGCUCUUCCAAGAUUUUCCAUGAGGACAGUGGCUGGAAGGGGACAAAGAGUCAAAAGAGAGUAUUUUAAAGAUGCUCAUGGACAAGGUUCAGUAGAGAGGGAGAAACUAAUGGUGCAGGAAGCCGAGAUAAACGUAGAUGUGAAGUCAGCACUUGAGCAGGCCAGAGGACGCGACUCUGAGCUGAAGAGGAAGUUUGCCUCCAGUAAGAACAGGGACCUUGCUUCUUUUUAAAAAAGAGAAGUCAGAGAGUGUGCGCAGAGGUUGGUGGUUGGUAGAAUAGGUGGUAAGGAAGAGAUGAGG
rnacentral:lncRNA from 1 species